AUGACUGGAUGAUUGAGUUGGCUGCUGAGUGUGUGACUGGAUUGUUGGUCUUGUGGUUGAAAACAUGGAGUAGGUACCAUAAAAAAUACUGAUUCUUGGUUUUCAUUUGUCUGAGUGUAGUCUUGCACUUUCUUUGACUGCUAUUACAAUCAAAUAUAUAUGUUAUCAUGUGAGUAAAAAAACUGAUUAAUGGAGAACCGAUUAAUCAAAUACCUAAUUGGCUAAUGAACAACUUCUUUUAUGAUGAUUUGGCUGGCCACAAAAAACUGCAUGUCAUCUGAAGACCCUUCCUAGAUGUUGACCAUUGUCCUUGCCUUUUCCUAGCUUCAUCCUUCUCUCUUGACCUUU
rnacentral:lncRNA from 1 species